GCCCGGGGCUUAACCCCGGAAGUGCAUUUGAAACUAAAGGGCUUGAGUAUGGGAGAGGGAAGUGGAAUUCCAGGUGUAGCGGUGAAAUGCGUAGAUAUCAGGAGGAACACCGGUGGCGAAGGCGACUUCCUGGACCAAUACUGACGCUAAGGCGCGAAGGCGUGGGUAGCAAACAGGAUUAGAUACCCUGGUAGUCCACGCAGUAAACGGUGAACACUAGGUGUAGCGGGUAUUGACCCCUGCUGUGCCGCAGCUAACGCAUUAAGUGUUCCGCCUGGGGAGUACGGUCGCAAGAUUAAAACUCAAAGGAAUUGACGGGGGCCCGCACGAGCGGUGGAGCAUGUGGUUUAAUUCGACGCAACGCGAAGAACCUUACCUGGAUUUGACAUCCC
rnacentral:rRNA from 1 species